ACACACAUUUAAGUGUUUAUUUUAAUACACGUUGGUCAAUAGCUGUACUAUUAUGUCUAAAUAAAUAAAAAAAUAAAACACUAAAAACCAAAAUCACAUAUUUUAAAAUCUACACAUGAAUUCAGGCAUUAUAAUAAUAAAAAUGCAUAUUCGAAAAGAUUACAUUUAACAGUGUUAUUAAUUUAUUAGUGUUUUUAUAAAAUAAUAUAAAUGUAAAAAUGUGAGAGAUGUCCAGUAUACGCUAAUAUAUUUAAUAUUGACUUUUAGCAAUACAUUAUGAAACAAAGCAACUUUUAAAACCAGUGUUAUUUGUUAAUAUUGUUAAUUGUUUUUGUUAAUAUUUUGAAUUAGAUUAUAUUUUCGUUUUUCAUCUUAAAUUAUAUAAACUAAAUAAAUAACAUUUAUAUAUUUUUUAAUUAUAUAUUAUAUGUAUAUAUUACAUUUUAUAUUAAUUUCUAGUAUUAAGAUUUAGUCUAGUUUAUUUAGUUAUAGUGAUUUUAGUACUAAAACUAAAUUAAAAUUAGAAAUGUUGCUUUGGCAACUAGCUAAAAAGAAACAAAUUGAAGUGUAUUUUUAUUUCAGUCAAUGUUCAUCCUAGUAAUGUCGAGACUUGAGAGAAAAUUAAUAAAUCGUUAUCCAUAAAUGUCUACCUGACAAAAUCGACCACUAGAUGUCGCUCUAUUCCGUCAUUCUAAUUACAGAAAUCAAAUAAAAUAUGAGCAAUAAUAGUGAUUUAGAAUACCGUAAAACAAAUCUGAGAUAAAACGCUUAGGCGGCCGUUGUAAGUUGUUGCCUGGCAACUGCAACGAUGUUUUUUAAACGAAUCCGAAGCGAACUGUCAUUUUCCCGGGAACCUCCGCAGCACGUGACUCACCCGGCGCCUCGCGCGCAGCCCCGCUCUCCGAAUAUUAAAAUGGCGGCGCCGCAUGGCGUAAAACUGAAGGAUUUAAAGUGUGAUUUGACGGACUGUACCGCAGCACAAGCGCAGCAGGACUCUCAGGUUGAAUUUGUGAAACGCGAUGUUCCCGUCUUCGAGCUGGAUGUGGGAAGGAUCUCCGAUGCUCUUCACGAAAGCCUGGAUCCGUCCAUUUUAUCCAUGUUUCAGGAGAAGACGCUGACGGAGAGCGUGGAGAGCGAGGCGUCGCUGCUGUCCGCUCUGACCGAGAUGUUGGACAGCGUGGACGUCGAGACACUGUCUCCAUUCGACACGCUGCCGGACACGGAGCUCUUCUCGGCUCCGAAGGGUUCGGAUCACAUGGAGGUUGUGAUGUCAGACAGACAGUUGAGACCCCGUCGCAUUUUAGUGACCCAGAGUGAGAUUUCAAUCCGAUCUGUGAGAACCUUCCGGAUCGAAUCCGACCCGAUAUUCCCACAGGACUGCCGGGAAGCACUUGCAGAUUUAGUGAGACACAUGCAUCCGUACUGCAUCAGGACAGAGAAAGAGACACGUGUGUCUGUGGAGGAGGAGGAAGAGGAGGAGUUUGUUGAUGUAGAAGGUUACGAGGAACAGGACGAGAACAUUCGGGACCAAUCAGAAAAAGACUUGAAUCCAAAAGCGGAAACAAAUGCACAGGAAGAAAAUGCCACAACUUCAGACCAAAACGUUAAGGCGACGGCUAAACGCAGCGCUUUAGUCAAAACCGGCGAUGCAGGACGGGUGAAGAAAACCGUGACUUUUGCGUUAAACUUAAUCUCCGUUCACGAGAUUCCACCCGACGAAGAGGAGACUCUCUCUAAAACAGACAUCACUUCCUCUCAGAAGCCCAAAGCGCUCAGUCUAGACCAGUACCGUCUCCUCAGACAGAAGAAGCCACCUCCGGAGGAGAAACCGAUGGACUCUCGAACCAAAUGGCCUUCGCUUCCCGAGCCUCCCAAGGAGCUUCCGCCAAUCCUGCCCAAGCUGACUCCGAACGCACCUUCUGUUAAACCGGAAACACCUCGAUCGCAGCCGCAGGGAGUCACACGUCCCUCUCGGAAGGACGUCAGGAAGGCUGUAGGUCUUUGCAUUGACCCUCCGAACCCGGUUUUAGUGCCCUUGAGACCCACACGACACACACACUCGGCCUCAGAACCAGAUGCGUGUGUUUCUUGUGAAGAGGGUCAAGUCUCUGAGGUCAAACCCGAAACUUCAGAAAGGAGACCGAAGCAGACGACGUGUGGAGAAAUCGGGAUUGAAGCGGCUGAUCUGACCAGCCUUUUGGAGCAGUUUGAGACUCAAGGACUAACUCCACCCGCCACACCUCCACAUCAGAUCUGGAGGCCCCUGGCGUCGCUCAAAGGGACGAGACAUGAAUCCAUCAAGCCGUCACCCAGCAAAACCAUUCAGAUAAUCGAACCUCGCCCACUGCCACGCAGUAAAACCCACUCAAAACCCUCGCUUCCCACCUUCACUCCUGCGCUGAAUCCCGCUCAAGCGUUCCUGGACCACGACUACUGCGGGAUUCAGACGUCUUUUACGCACACAAACGCUCUGUCCGGUUCGGUGCUGCUGUCUCCUGACAGCUCCCCCUGCAGGAUGGAGGCGUUCGAGGAGGCGGAGUCUCUAAGGGGGCGGGGCUUGCACUUCUCCUCCCACUCUCCAAGGCCAUUGGACCGCGGAAGGCUGAAGAGGCGGGGCUAUGAAGGCAGAUACCGGCGCUCCAGCUCGAGGUCUUGCUCCUCAUGUUCUUCGUCGUCUUCAUCAUCUUCAUCAUCAUCAUCUCGUUCCAGGUCUCCUUCACCACCCAGAAAACGGUACAGGUCCAGGAGGCAUUCUGGAAGCAGCUCCUCCUCGCGCUCCAGCUCACGCUCGUCUUCUCGCUCUCCUCCUCGCAAGCGUGGAUCCAGAUCACGAUCCGGAUCGUCACAUCGCUCUCGUUCGGGUUCGCGCUCGCCUGAGCCGGACUGGAGAUGGACGAGUCGCAGACAGAAGGAGCUCAACCGCAGAUACGAAGAGGCUCGUAGACUCCGGCAGCAGAAAGCCAUCGUAGGUGGACCAACGAUUGUUUGGCUUCAUGUUGGACGCUGUGUGUGUGUGUGUGUGUGUGUGUGUGUGUGUGUGUGUGUACCUGGUUGAUCCCCAGGAGGAGCGGAGGGUGGUGUAUGUGGGGGGGAUCCGUGGAAGCACGUCUCCGUCGGACCUCAGAGAUCGAUUCUCUCUGUUCGGGAAGGUGGAGGACUGCACCGUGCAUCUCAGGAGCCACGGGUGAGAUUUACACACACACAUCAGCAAAUCAAUAAAAUAAAAUUAUUAUAAUAAUAUAACA
ensembl:lncRNA